rnacentral:lncRNA from 1 species
GGAGAAGCAGCACCUGUACUGGGGAGGAGGAGGGACUGGGGCAGGUGAGGGCCGGAUGCCAGGUGCAGGAGGGAAGGGUUUCCGGCUUUGGUUUGCUGUGUAUCCUAACGUGUGAAGCAGUAGGCACUCAACCAAGAGCCGUUGAGUGAAAGAGUAGACCAGUUGUGCAGCAAAGUCCCUGUGGCCUGGAGGAAACUGCAAGGCUGGUUCUCUGCAGCACUGCCUUUAGAAGCUCGAAGCAGCUUCUGAAGCGGAGGUCCAGGAGCCAGAGUCUCUAAGGGCCUGUUCAAAGACGAAGAUGGAGGCCAGUGGGGAGAGGCCAAGGGAGACAGAGUCACAGGAAGAUGGAGAUUUCACCGACAUGCUUUCCCCUGCGUCAGAGGCCCUGAGAUACCUCCCUGCAACUCUGGAGCUCUUUGGAUGGCUGUCAAGAAACACCAUUUCAAUCCUUGCCAAGCUCAUGGAGGAAGAGAGCCUGGUCACCUGUGGCUCCUACCCGAGGCGCCUUGUUCACCCUACAAAUUUUCUCACUGGAGGAAAAAGCGUUCUAUCCUUGAAUGGGUUCUGAGUGGCAGCUGAGGUGGAGAGACACAGGCCUGGGAGAAAUGUGGGCGGUGCUGUGCCCCCAGGAGUCUGUCUUUGGGCUCCUGAAGUGACCGGCCGUGGCUGCAUCGAGUCACCCCACCUCUCAGGGCAGUGAGACUCUGGGCUUUGCUGAAGAAGGGGAAGGUGAGAGAGUGUGGAACAGACUUGUGCUGACAGCCGGCCGCUUCCCUGGGUAGACCUGCCCCUGUGGGAUGGGAAGCCCUCUGAGGGCCACCUUGCAGGUUGGUCUCAGAAGCGCUUCAGGGUUAAGUGGAGAAACAGCACCACAAACAGAAGAUGCAGAGCAUCCUCAGGUGGCCCAGGCGCCAGCUGUCUGCAGGUUACACUCCAGGGCGGCAUCUUCC